UGGCCCGAAAAGUACCAUUUUCUCUUUCCUCUCUAUCUCUUUCCUUUCCUCUCCUCUUUUCUCCUCUCCUCUCUAUCUCUAUUCUCGAAACGAAAUGCAUUCAAACACUCUCACCUCUGUUCCCGCUCAUCCCCCAGAUCCGUCUCAUCCCAGAUCUCUCUCAUCCCUCUCAUUUCUGUUAAACCUCCCUUUGAUCGUUCUCUGAGUGCGAAGGAGGACGAAUGACGGCGAACGACGGAUGACGAAAUACAGAAAAAAAACUCUUUACCUACCGGUGCCGGAAAGUCCUCAUUACCUACGAGAAGAAAAAGGAAUUCAAGAUGACGACGACGACGACACUAGUUCCAUAAUCCGUUCCAAUAUUGGACCUCGGAAAGCUAUAAGAACAGAAGAAUUAAACGAUCUAAGGACAAGGCUUUGUGAGAUGGACAAUGAAAUUCAUGAGCAUGAUAGAAGACUUCAAAGGAUGGAGAAGAACUUCAAGGCAAUGAUUUAUGUCAUUGUUUUUUUUUUGUCAUUUUGCACUUUAUCAUGUACAUGACUAACUUUCUAUCGUUCUAGCGAAUUUCAUGAAUGUAAUAAAAAACUUGUUUGUAUUUUGUAUC